ACAGUCACACAUUAGAUACCCCUGUAGUCCUGGCCGUAAACGAUGUGGACUUGGUGUUGGAAUGGCUCCGAGCUGCUCCAGUGCCGAAGGGAAGUUGUUAAGUCUGCUACUUGGGGAGUACGUCCGCAAGGAUGAAACUUAAAGGAAUUGGCGGGGGAGCACCGCAACGGGAGGAGCGUGCGGUUUAAUUGGAUUCAACACCGUAAAACUCACCAGGGAAGACUGUUACAUGAAGGCCGAGAUGAAGACUCUGCUAGAUUUUCAG
rnacentral:rRNA from 1 species